rnacentral:rRNA from 1 species
CGCGUAGGAAUCUACCCAGUAGUGGGGACGAACAGUCGGAAACGGCUGCUAAUACCGCAUACGCCCUAACGGGGGAAACGGGGAGUCUUCGGACCUCGCGCUAUUGGAUGAGCCUGCGUCGGAUUAGCUAGUUGGUAGGGUAAGAGCCUACCAAGGCGACGAUCCGUAGCUGGUCUGAGAGGACGAUCAGCCACACUGGGACUGAGACACGGCCCAGACUCCUACGGGAGGCAGCAGUGGGGAAUAUUGCGCAAUGGGCGAAAGCCUGACGCAGCCAUGCCGCGUGUGUGAAGAAGGCCC